UACCUGUGAAAUCAACAAUUCUUAUGAAUCAGGAAGAACAUUCACGGAUGAAUGUUCAGGUUUUUCAGCACAGGGAGGUGCUUAAAAGCCGGUUCCGGCCAGCGAUCAAAACAGUCAAAAAUUCAAAGCAGUUUUGGUUCCUUUUCCU
rnacentral:ncRNA from 1 species